CGGGAGGCCGGGACCGGCGGAAGGGGCGUGGCCUUUGGAAGGGGUAGGCCGGCGGGAAUCCAGAGGCGUGGGUCUCCCUGAAGAACUCCCAGACCUUUCACUCCUGGCCCGGCCGGCGCAUACAAGCAGCACAAUGAGUAGUUCUUGACCCGAGGUCGCCCUGACGGUGUCGCAUGAAGAGCUUGCUUCACACACAACAAGAUUCGAUACUUUGCCAAUUCGAGACCCGGGUGGCUGGCAGGGAAGGCGGAUUCGCCUUGGCUAGGUGCCAGGCAGGUCCCCCUCUGCGGGUGCCCCUGACUUCGACCCCUAGCUUAUGUCACAGCCCGAACCAGAUCGACUGGUCUGGUAGGAUGUCACUCCAGACUGUCCUCCACCCCAGACUUCCUCAAACUGAUGGGCUCUUUGUGCCGUGCAGGGUGGGAGGAGAAGACCAAACUAAGUAACGUCUGUAAAACCCCUUCCUGGACAGCAUAAGGCCUCCACAUCUAAGUUUCUGCCAUUAAAAUGGAGACAGCAAAGCCAACCCUAUCCAGUCCUUGGGACUGUUAUGAACAGAAAAUGAUGCAAUGUAUGAAAAACUGCUUUAACGAGGAAAACAAUACAGUGUGUUUUUGGAAGAUGUUAUUGACUUGUGAACCGCAUUAAAUGCUCUGAAAUAAAAUGAAAGUAAAAAU